GAAUCUUGCGCAAUGGGCGAAAGCCUGACGCAGCAACGCCGCGUGAGUGAUGAAGGUUCUUGGAUCGUAAAGCUCUUUCGGCUGGGAAGAAACGCCCUGUGGCUAAUAUCCACGGGGUUUGACGGUACCAGCAGAAGAAGCACCGGCUAACUCUGUGCCAGCAGCCGCGGUAAUACAGAGGGUGCAAGCGUUGUUCGGAAUUAUUGGGCGUAAAGCGAGUGUAGGCGGGAUGGCAAGUCGGGUGUGAAAGCCCUCAGCUCAACUGAGGAAGUGCGCUCGAAACUACUGUUCUUGAGUGUCGGAGAGGGUGACGGAAUUCCCGGUGUAGAGGUGAAAUUCGUAGAUAUCGGGAGGAACACCAGUGGCGAAGGCGGUCACCUGGACGAACACUGACGCUGAGACUCGAAAGCGUGGGUAGCAAACAG
rnacentral:rRNA from 1 species